GCAUUAUUGGCAGACACCUUGAUUGCAGCCUUAAAAGAGACCUUAAACCAAGAUCACUCAACCUAAACUAUGUCUAGAAUCCUGACUCACAGACACUGGGAGACACUGUCAUGCACUCCUAUAUCUCCACUCUAACUAGAGACUUCUUACUAAGAAGGAGGCAAAGCCAUAAACCCAAAGGGUUCCGAGAAGAGUCUACCUGGGUUCCAGUACCCAUAACCUGGAAGACAAGCCCAUUAACCUUUCAGAGGCUCAACUUCCUCAUCUGAUAAGGUAGGGUGUGGACCAUGUGGUGGAUGAACAUAUUUUGUUUUCAACCUGCUUAGCAUUUGUUCCAUUGGGUUGAUUGGUUAUCUCCCAUGGACCUCCUCUCCCUAGCAACAACGAAUAAAAUGUUGACAACAUGGCAUACAAAAGGCUAAUGUGGAUAGUUCCCUAGAACUCAUUUGUGAAGGUUGGUAGGAAGAAGCUGUCUUUCCACCUUGGUUGUAAGAUGGGGGAAUGAAUAUCAACAUUUUCUGCAUUUAUUUUCGCUAUCAUAUACUGAAGGUUUAUAUGCAGCAGGAAAGAUUAAAGCCAUGAAGAGAUGAGAGAAUUUCAGAGAGCCACAGUCUUGGUAACAUUAAGCCCUAAAUCCAAUCCUUUAGUCCCUGGUUCCAAAAGUUCUGCCUUGAAUACUGUGAGGAACCCAGAAUCCUCUGCAGGUACAGAAUCAAUCAACUCAUAUUUUUGGUUGAAAUUAAUGCAUUUGAUCUUCUUUCUUGUAAGUAAAUGUUCUUCACUAAUAUAGAACAUACUGGACUGGGCCCAGACCAACCCCACCUCUUUAUUCCCUACUAUGUACACUCCUGAAAUCUCCCUGAGUUAGGUUCCUCAUCUGUACAGUGAGUACAAGCAUCCAGCAAUUCAAAUGUUGCUGUGUAGAUAAUAUAGAUGAAAUGUUUGGAAUAUAGUAGAUGCCCAAUAAAUGUUAGCAUUAUUGUAUUACCAAUUUAAUAAUUUCUCAGGCUGGAUAUUGCCCAAAUUUCACAGGGCACCACAAGUAGCAAAACACUAAGAAAAAGGCUUUGGAUGCAGGGAAACAUAGAUUUGUACUUGCAGUUCAACACACUACAACACACUGUGGGAUGUGCGACUUUUAUCAUUCUUGUAGCCCUUAGGACAUUGUUGAUUUAAGCAAAUUGGCUUAGCAAGGAGAUGUUUUCUUUCACAUUAUUAGAGGUCCAGAGGUGAGAUUGGAACAAGGAGCAGUAUGGUUGUGCAGAUUGUCAAUCCACACUUGUUACAUAUCUGCAUUCAUCUAGACUUUUUCUCAACCUUAUUCCCCUCAUGGUCAUAAGAUGCCUGCUUAAAGCACCUGGAGCAACACAGUUGCUUGUUUCCAGCCAACAAAGGGAAGAAUUACUUUAGAUUACCAGAUUUUUCUGCAAGCCUGUCUUUUUCUCUGAUAGACCCAAACUGGCCAAGUUCAGCCCAUAUUUGAGUAAACCUCUAGCAGGGAACAUGGAAUUAUCCUAGUUGGCUUAGGUUAGUCAUGGGGGUGGAUUAAAUAUUGAGAAAUCAACCAAAAUAGCUCUUAUCACUCAUCACUCAACCUUUUCAAGUCUUUUUUUCUUCCUGUAAAAUACCUAACUCACAGCUUGCUGAGAGAAUUAAAAAGAUCAAAUGUAUGUUGUACCUUCAAUAAUAUUUGGCACAUAGCAAUUAUUGAAUGAAUAGAAGACAUAACUGCUGAGAUGAUAUUAUACACCAGGGGGUAUGGGGUAUAGGAGACAUACUCACCAGUAACAAACACCUGAGUGCCCCGACCUGAUUGGUACUCCUUGAUAGCUCUUCC
rnacentral:lncRNA from 1 species